rnacentral:lncRNA from 1 species
AAAGAGGACUACCUCGAACCCGAAAUAGAAUUAAAAAGAAAAUCAAGUUCACAUAGGAACCCAAACUCGAACCCAAAUAAAUCCAAACCCAAACCAAACCUAGUCCACAAAUAAACCCACAAAUAAACCCAAACUCGAACCCAAAUAAAUCCAAACCCAAACCAAACCUAGUCCACAAAUAAACCCACAAAUAAACCCAAACUUGAACCCAAAUAAACCCAAACCUAAAUCAAGUCAAGUUCAAACCCAAACAAAACCCAAAACCCAAAUAAAUCCAAACCUAAAUCAAGUCAAGUUCAAACCCAAACAAAACCCAAAACCCAAAUAAACCCAAACCUAAAUCAAGUCAAGUUCAAACCCAAACAAAACCCAAAAAUCCAAAUAAAUCCAAACCAAACCAAGUCCACAUACAAAGCCAAACGGCCCAAACCUAACCAAACCAAGUCCAAAUAAACAUCCAACCAAAACCAAAAUAAACCGAAACCAAACCAAGUCCACAUAAAUAACCCCAAACCCAUUCCAGAAUCAAAUCCAAAGCCAAACCAAACCUCAUGGACCAAAUCCCAUGAGCCAAAACCAAGUUUAUGAACCAAAUCCCAUGAACCAAAACCAAACUUCAUGGACCAAAUCCCAUGAGCCAAAACCAAGUUCAUGAACCAAGUCCCAUGAACCAAAACCAAACCUCAUGGACCAAAUCCCAUGAACCAAAACCAAACCUCAUGGGCCAAAUCCCAUGAACCAAAACCAAGUUCAUGGACCAAAUCCCAUGAACCAAAACCAAGUUCAUGGACCAAAUCCCAUGAACCAAAACCAAACCUCAUGGACCAAAUCCCAUGAACCAAAACCAAAUCUCAUGGACCAAAUCCCAUGAACCAAAACCAAACCUCAUGGACCAAAUCCUAUGAACCAAUAACCAAAUCUCAUAAACCAAUACCCAAAUCCCAUGAACCAAUACCCAGAUCUCAUACCCAUAUCUCAUGAACCAAUUAGACUAACACAUAGAGUUUAAUAUCGAUCGGGUCUUAACACAUAUACUUAGGGCCUAAUCAACCUCAAAUCCAACUGAAUCCUAAUACAUAUACUUAGGAUUCAAUAAACCGAGACGCGAUUCAACUCAUCCCAUCUAUAAAGGUCUCCUAAUCGAUGGUACUCCAAUCUACAGAGGAUAAUUAACAAUAGAUGCUUGCAUCUAUUGGAAGCCAUGGACCCGCAAAACCUGAUAUCCACAUACAUAUAAAUACUCAUCUGAAUCAUGAAUACUACCCCACGGCCCCGAAAAUUUCAUCGACCGUGCGAGGUGCGUCAUUCGUGGUGGCAGACAGGAGGUACAUGUUUAAUCUAAUCAAAAUGCUAAAUAACAAUG